rnacentral:rRNA from 1 species
CCUACGGGAGGCAGCAGUAAGGAAUAUUGGACAAUGCUCGCAAGAGUGAUCCAGCCAUGCCGCGUGCAGGAAGAAUGCCCUAUGGGUAGUAAACUGCUUUUGAACUAGAGAAAACCCCAGUACGUGUACUGGGCUGAUAGUAUAGUUAGAAUAAGCAUCGGCUAACUUCGUGCCAGCAGCCGCGGUAAGACGAAGGAUGCAAGCGUUAUCCGGAUUCAUUGGGUUUAAAGGGAGCGUAGGUGGACUGAUAAGUCAGUGGUGAAAUCUCCGAGCUUAACUCGGAAAUUGCCAUUGAUACUGUUGGUCUUGAGUACAGUUGCUGUGGGCGGAAUAUGACAUGUAGUGGUGAAAUACAUAGAGAUGUCAUAGAACACCGAUUGCGAAGGCAGCUCACAAAGCUGUAACUGACACUGAGGCUCGAAAGUGCGGGGAUCAAACAGGAUUAGAUACCCUGGUAGUCCGCACCGUAAACGAUGAUUACUCGCUGCUAGGGGGCGAACCGUUUAGUGGCUUAGCGAAAGCGAAUAAGUAAUUCCACCUGGGGAGUUACGCCGGCAACGGUUGAAACUUCAAAGGAAUUGACGGCNGAGAGNGCGAGGACGACACGAGGGAGAGG